UAAGCUAAGCUGAAAGCUAUUGGGCUCAUAACCCAACAAUGGAAUAUUCCUCUGUU
rnacentral:tRNA from 1 species